UCUAAGACAGUCAGGAUGUUGGCUUAGAAGCAGCCAUCAUUUAAAGAGUGCGUAACAGCUCACUGAUCGAGAGGCUUUGGGCCGAAAAUGAACGGGGCUCAAGUGCACAACCGAAGCUGCGGAUUGGAAGUGAUCGUUGAUUGCUUUCAGUGGUAGGGGAGCGUUCUGACUGGGUGAAGGGCUACGGUAACGAGGCCUGGACGGUUCAGAAGUGAUUAUGCCGGAAUGAGUAGCGAUAAAGCAGGUGAGAAUCCUGCUCGCCGAAAACCUAAGGUUUCCUGGGCACGGUAAAUCCGCCCAGGGUUAGUCGGUCCCUAAGGCGAGGCCGAAAGGCGUAGUCGAUGGGUAACGGGUUAAUAUUCCCGUACCACUAACUGGCGUUUGACCGAUGGAGUAACGCGGAAGAGAGUGUUAUCGCGGUGACUGAUGUCCGCGUGUAAGCCCGAGGGCGGUAGAUAGGUAAAUCCGUCUACGUAAACCCGGAGGUGAUGCCGAGUGCGAAUGCGCGAAGUAACAGGAUUGACCGCCGAGAAAAACUUCUAGGGAGCCACGUUAGUGUCCGUACCAAAACUGACACAGGUAGGUAAGGUGAGAAUCCUAAGGCGCUCGAGAGAACUGCUGUUAAGGAACUCGGCAAAAUGACCCCGUAACUUCGGGAGAAGGGGUGCCGUUGAAGGUGUAGGUCUUCGCGAUCGAAGCUUUCGGCGGCCGCAGAGAAUUGGCCCAACCAACUGUUUACUAAAAACACAGGUCUGUGCUAACUCCUAACGAGGAUGUAUACAGACUGACGCCUGCCCAAUGCCGGAAGGUUAAGGGGAGUGGUUAGCGUAAGCGAAGCUGCGAACUGAAGCCCCGGUGAAUGGCGGCCGUAACUAUGACGGUCCUAAGGUAGCGAAGUUCCUUGUCGGGUAAGUUCCGACCCGCACGAAAGGCGUAAUGAGUUGGGCACUGUCUCAACAGCAGACUCGGCGAAAUUGUAGUCGUGGUGAAGAUGCCACGUUCCCGCACUAAGACGGAAAGACCCCGUGAACCUUUACUGCAGCCUGAUAUUGGUGCUUGUUAUGUAGUGCGUAGCAUAGGUGGGAGGCGUCGAAGCGGACCUUUCGGGGUUUGUGGAGCCAUUAGUGAAAUACCACUCUCUGCAUAUUAGGUCUCUAACGCGUUUAUCUGAAUCGAUGACGCGGACAGUUUCAGGUGGGUAGUUUGGCUGGGGCGGUCUCCUCCUAAAAGGUAACGGAGGAGCGCGAUGGUACACUCAGUGUGGUUAGCAAUCACACGUAGAGCGCAAGGGUAUAAGUGUGCCUGACUGCGAGAGAUAUAGCUCGAGCAGAUACGAAAGUAGGUCCUAGUGAUCCGGCGGAUUCCGAGUGGAAGGGCCGUCGCUCAUCAGAUAAAAGGUACUCCGGGGAUAACAGGCUGAUCUCCCCCAAGAGUUCAUAUCGACGGGGAGGUUUGGCACCUCGAUGUCGGCUCAUCGCAUCCUGGGGCUGAAGGCGGUCCCAAGGGUUUGGCUGUUCGCCAAUUAAAGCGGUACGUGAGCUGGGUUUAGACCGUCGUGAGACAGGUCGGUCCCUAUCUGGUGUGGGUGUAGGAUGAUUGAGGAGGUAUUCCCCUAGUACGAGAGGAUUGGGGAGUACGACCCUCUGGUGCACCAGUUAUCACGCUAGUGGUACAGCUGGGUAGCUACGGUCGGAACGGAUAAGCGCUGAAUGCAUCUAAGUGCGAAGCCUUCUUCAAAACGAGUCAUCCCUACCAGUCCCCUGGAAGACUACCAGGUUGAUAGGCCAGCGGUGUAAGCACAGCAAUGUGUUCAGCCUACUGGUACUAAUCGGACGAUCGGCUUAACCAC
rnacentral:rRNA from 1 species